AUUUUGGGAAAAAAAUAAUUCAAAACUGAAUUAAGAUGAGAGAAUCGAUUCUCUUGAGAGAGUUUUGAGAAUUUGAGAGAGCCGGACACGUGUCAGUGUUCUAUUGGAGGGAGAGUUAUAACAAAAGAAAAAAAAAAUCAUUUUUUUUAAUUUCUGUCGCGACAAAAAAAAAGCGAGGUUGAAGCCGAUGGCCUUGGUUUGAUUGAUGUCGCUUCUGAAGACGAUAGCCUUCUCUUCUCCUCCUUUCCUGACCCACCCAGCUACGAGUUUUCCGAGGCAGAUAAGGAUGAAAAUUGUUUGAAGGAUGACAAAGAUCUAAAUUUCAUGAGGGAUACACUAUAUUGUGAUGAUGAGAUAUUGGUUUCUACAAUUGAAGAGAAGGAAGAGGUACUUCAACCUCAUGAGUCGCCUGAGCCUAAGAAGGUGAUGAAGAAAGGAUAGUAUAAUUUGCGCAAAAGUCUUGCCUGGGACAAUGAAUUCUUCACUAGCGCUGGUGUUUUGGAACCUGAAGAACUGUCCAGCAUGAUGGAGAACAAUCACAAGAGUGGGAGAAAGCUUUACCUACCAUUCUAGAGGAUAUUAAUAGAUCUACAGAAUCCAUUUCUACAUUUCAAAGUGACUGCACUGUGGAGAAUAGUCAGGAGUUUGUUUUGUUUGAGGAUGUAAGAGCGUCUAUUCAAAGGUCUGCUAAAACAUCUGAUGCUGCAACGCCCGGGAAAAAUAAUGAAGUGAGAGAAACAGAAGUAGCAAUGACCCCAAUGGAUGAACUUCAAGCAGCUUCAGGAGUUCAAGAAUGUUAUCCCCUCCUUCACUAUCUCUGACCUUGGCUUGAAAUCAGGUAAACAACUUUGAAGUGAACAUCAUCACACCGUGUCUGGUUUGGUAAUAUGAUAAUCGUAAUCUGCUUGUCAUUCUUUUGAUCAGUUAGUUAUAGUCACAGUCACCCAUGAUUUUCACCGUGUAGUUUAGUCUUUGGGAUGUAUAAGUGGAAAGAAGACAAAGAAUCAAGGACUGAAGACACCACAAGUCACGGACCUAUUGCAUUUGCUUUUGCUUUAUGUUGCAUAUGCUUUUGUUUUUAUGUAUAAACACCACAAGUCUCACUUUUUUGUAUGCAUCCAUAUGAUUGAGCUUUGCUAUAUAUAACAACAUCCUUGUUCUUAUUAUUACACACACAAACAUUGUUCUUAUU